rnacentral:rRNA from 1 species
GACGUAGGGUGCGAGCGUUGUCCGGAUUUAUUGGGCGUAAAGAGCUCGUAGGCGGUCUGUCGCGUCGGUCGUGAAAACCUGCAGCUUAACUGUGGGCGUGCGGUCGAUACGGGCAUGACUGGAGUUCGGCAGGGGAGACUGGAAUUCCUGGUGUAGCGGUGAAAUGCGCAGAUAUCAGGAGGAACACCGGUGGCGAAGGCGGGUCUCUGGGCCGAUACUGACGCUGAGGAGCGAAAGCGUGGGGAGCGAACAGG